ACGAUGCUGGUUGAGGUUUCAGUCCGAGUUGCUCAACGAUGGAUGCAGAAAUGAAGUUGUCGCUGGCACCAGAGUCGGCCAUGGCAGUUAAAGAAUGUCCAGCGACACGAAUGCCAAUUAACGGGACUCUGGGCCCUGUUGAUGCAGCAACUUUUGCACACAGGACUGAAACAUGGGGCUCCGUGUCAAGGUGCCCCAGGACAAGAGGGGGAUUGUACCAAACGUCAGCAGUAUACGGCAGACCUGGAAAGGAAACAAGUUGACCCGUCAUGUCUACACCGUUGAAAAGCUUGCUACCAGCAUGAAACUGAAGAACCCGACGCAUCCCUAUCAGCAAGGAGGCAGCCCUCGGGGAUACAUGUGCUGGUAACAGGAGACAGGCCGCGGUGUCCGGUCGUUGACAUUUGCAAAUACGAUAAUGCGCAAGCUGAAACUGAAG
rnacentral:lncRNA from 1 species